rnacentral:rRNA from 1 species
UACGGAGGGUGCAAGCGUUAUCCGGAUUUACUGGGUUUAAAGGGUGCGUAGGCGGUUGUAUAAGUCAGUGCUGAAAUAUCCCGGCUUAACCGGGAGGGUGGCAUUGAUACUGUACGACUUGAGUAAAGUUGAGGUUGGCGGAAUUGACGGUGUAGCGGUGAAAUGCUUAGAUAUCGUCAAGAACACCGAUUGCGAAGGCAGCUAACUAAGCUUUAACUGACGCUGAGGCACGAAAGUGUGGGGAUCAAACAGG